GACGAACCGUGCGAACGUUAUUCGGAAUCACUGGGCUUAAAGCGCGCGCAGGCGGUUCUCCAAGUCAGUGGUGAAAGCCCGGAGCUCAACUCCGGAACUGCCAUUGAAACUGUUGAACUUGAGGACGAGAGAGGUGAGUGGAAUUCCCAGUGUAGAGGUGAAAUUCGUAGAUAUUGGGAAGAACACCAGUGGCAAAGGCGGCUCACUGGCCCGAUACUGACGCUGAGGCACGAAAGCGUGGGGAGCAAACAGG
rnacentral:rRNA from 1 species